rnacentral:lncRNA from 1 species
GAGAGAUCUUCAACUCUAGCUCAUUCCAAGUUUAGAUUGAAGCAUCUAAAGAGGUUAGUAACAUAUUUCUCUCCUUUGAUUCAUGUUUUGGAGGUUUUUGUGUUGAAACCUAGAAAUGGGAAAACUAGGGUUUAUUUGGGAAUUUUUGAUUUGUAGCUUUUGGAGCUCAAUUGAUUGGUUUAGAACCUUCAUUUAGGUUGGUUUCGAAGGGUUUUUACUCUCUUUUGGAGAUU